CAAGUCGAGCGCAACUUCGGUUGAGCGGCGGACGAGCGAGUAACACGUUGGAACCUACCUCGAACUCAGGGAUAACAUCUAGAAAUAGAUGCUAAUACCGGAUAGUCCCGUAAGGGUAAAGAUUUAUCGGUUUGAGAGGGGCCUGCGUACUAUCAGCUUGUUGGUAAGGUAAUGGCUUACCAAGGCUAUGACGGUUAACUGGUCUGAGAGGAUGAUCAGUCGCGAUGGGACUGAGACACGGCCCAUACUCC
rnacentral:rRNA from 1 species